CUGAAUUUGACAUUUGGGUGUUCCCUGCUGUAGGCAGCCUGUGUUUCUGGAGUAGAGGCAGGGAAGCAGACUAUACAGAAAGCAAACUCUGCCUUAGGUUUUCAGGAUGCUCAGCUAGAUGAUGUUAUCAGGCAAACACAGAACUUCAUCCUCAGGCUUUGACAGGUAAAAUUGUCUUCCUUUUGAUCCCUGAAACAUCGUAUUUUUGCUAGUUUUCAAGGCAACCAGUAGGAUAGCUACUUGCCUUUUCUAUUUUUCAGGAGAAAGCAAAACCAAACCUGGUUUGAUACCAGAGAGACACUGUCUAUUUGAAAUAGAGCCAGCUUUUGAAAACAAGUUAGAAGUCAUCUCCUUGCCAAUUUUUGUGGGUGUUCAUCGUGCCUGGAUAGCAAGAAAAUUCCUGCAGGGAAUCUCAUGAAUGUCAGAGCUAGCAGGUAACGAAGAGCUAAGCUCCUGCAGAAUUUCUUUCUUCCUUCCUUUGAGGAGGAGGACGAGAAGGGAAGGCAGAUGGUAACUCUUCGCUGGAGCACUGUGUAAAACAGAAGCAAGAUAUCAGCAUGUUCAAUGGCUGCAUUCCCCUGAGUGGAGGAAAAGUACCUGGGAAAGCAGUGAGAGGAGAGAUGAGGAGCAGCCUGCUGCAGAAAGAACUGCUGUCUAGAAGAGAACAUAUCAGGACAACUGCCAGCAUACUGAGCGAGAGGUGUUGGGAGUGUUUGUUGUUCACACUUAACAACCUGAUGUGAUUUAUCGUGCUUUUAUUUCGUCUCCCUCCAAAGAUGUUAUGUCUGUUUAAAUACAGUUUUCACUCUGUUGCUCACUACCGGAGAUGCUUCACUCAAGGAGCCCCAGGUAAUACAAUGCAGCUUCUCCCUGGAAGCCCAAAAUAGUGUUUAAAUGCUUUUCUGCAAAGACUCCGUAAAAAUUGAACACAACCUCUGCUUCGUUAGUCAGUUUGUGGCAGAACAGCAGGAAAGCCUGUCUGAACUUGAAUCUUAUGGCUGUAUUAAGACAUAUUUUUUCACAGUAAAGACAUAGACUUGGACUCCAUCAUCUCAGAAUAAAAGAG
ensembl:lncRNA